rnacentral:rRNA from 1 species
GACGAACGCUGGCGGCGUGCUUAACACAUGCAAGUCGAACGGAAAGGCCCUGCUUUUGUGGGGUGCUCGAGUGGCGAACGGGUGCGUAACACGUGAGUAACCUGCCCUUGACUUUGGGAUAACUUCAGGAAACUGGGGCUAAUACCGGAUAGGAGCUCCUGCUGCAUGGUGGGGGUUGGAAAGUUUCGGCGGUUGGGGAUGGACUCGCGGCUUAUCAGCUUGUUGGUGGGGUAGUGGCUUACCAAGGCUUUGACGGGUAGCCGGCCUGAGAGGGUGACCGGCCACAUUGGGACUGAGAUACGGCCCAGAGUCCUACGGGAGGCAGCAGUGGGGAAUAUUGCACAAUGGGCGGAAGCCUGAUGCAGCAACGCCGCGUGCGGGAUGACGGCCUUCGGGUUGUAAACCGCUUUCGCCUGUGACGAAGCGUGAGUGACGGUAAUGGGUAAAGAAGCACCGGCUAACUACGUG